rnacentral:rRNA from 1 species
AGGCAGCAGCAAGGAAUUUUCCGCAAUGGGCGCAAGCUGACGGAGCAACGCCGCGUGCCGGAUGACGGUCUUCGGAUUGUAAACGGCUUUUGCCUAGGAAGAAACAGACGGUACUAGGCGAAUCAGCCCCGGCUAACUCCGUGCCAGCAGCCGCGGUGAUACGGAGGGGGCAAGCGUUGUCCGGAGUUACUGGGCGUAAAGCGUGCGUAGGCGGUUGCAUGCGUCACCACUGAAAGCUCCAAGCUCAACUUGGUGAGGCGUGGUGAUACGAUGCAGCUGGAGGCAGCCAGAGGAAAGCGGAAUUCCGGGUGUAGUGGUGAAAUGCGUAGAGAUCCGGAGGAACGCCAGUGGUGCAGACGGCUUUCUGGGGCUGACCUGACGCUGAGGCACGAAAGCGUGGGGAGCAAACCGGAUUAGAUACCCGGGUAGUCCACGCCGUAAACGAUGUUCGCUCGGUGUGCGGCACGGUGCAAGCCGUGCGGCGUGCCCAAGGUUACCCGUUAAGCGAACCGCCUGGGGACUACGAGCGCAAGCUUAAAACUCAAAGGAAUUGACGGGGCCCGCACAAGCAGCGGAGCGUGUGGUUUAAUUCGACGCAACGCGAAGAACCUUACCUAGGCUUGACAUGCAACUGCACGCCCAGCGAAAGCUGGGUUCCUGCGAGGGUGUUGCACAGGUGCUGCAUGGCUGUCGUCAGCUCGUGUCGUGAGAUGUUGGGUUAAGUCCCGCAACGAGCGCAACCCUCGUCGCUAGUUACAAGUGUCUAGCGAGACAGCCCCCAUUUGGGGGAGGAAGGCGGGGAUGACGUCAAGUCCGCAUGGCCCUUACGCUUAGGGCGACACACACGCUACAAUGGUGCCGACAAUCCGCAGCGACCCAGCAAUGGUGAGCGAAUCGUUAAACGGCACCCCAGUGCAGAUCGGGGGCUGCAACUCGCCCCCGUGAAGGCGGAGUUGCUAGUAACCG